rnacentral:rRNA from 1 species
CGAAUGCUGACAUAAGUAACGAUAAAGCGGGUGAAAAGCCCGCUCGCCGGAAGACCAAGGGUUCCUGUCCAACGUUAAUCGGGGCAGGGUGAGUCGACCCCUAAGGCGAGGCCGAAAGGCGUAGUCGAUGGGAAACAGGUUAAUAUUCCUGUACUUGGUGUUACUGCGAAGGGGGGACGGAGAAGGCUAUGUUGGCCGGGCGACGGUUGUCCCGGUUUAAGCGUGUAGGCUGGUUUUCCAGGCAAAUCCGGAAAAUCAAGGCUGAGGCGUGAUGACGAGGCACUACGGUGCUGAAGCAACAAAUGCCCUGCUUCCAGGAAAAGCCUCUAAGCAUCAGGUAACAUCAAAUCGUACCCCAAACCGACACAGGUGGUCAGGUAGAGAAUACCAAGGCGCUUGAGAGAACUCGGGUGAAGGAACUAGGCAAAAUGGUGCCGUAACUUCGGGAGAAGGCACGCUGAUAUGUAGGUGAAGUCCCUCGCGGAUGGAGCUGAAAUCAGUCGAAGAUACCAGCUGGCUGCAACUGUUUAUUAAAAACACAGCACUGUGCAAACACGAAAGUGGACGUAUACGGUGUGACGCCUGCCCGGUGCCGGAAGGUUAAUUGAUGGGGUCAGCGCAAG